GCCCACUUCAGUAGGACAUAUACUAAAAUUGGAACUAUAUAGAGAAGAUUAGCGCAAGGAUGAAACCCAAAUUCAUGAAGUGUUUCACAGUUCU
ensembl:snRNA U6 U6 spliceosomal RNA